rnacentral:lncRNA from 1 species
AGCCUUUGUGGAAAGGAUUGUGGUCAAAAUCUGACUCACUCAUCAAUGAAUUUAUGGUCUGUUCAGAGCCCAUGUAAGAAAUGGAAAGAAUUACAACCAGCCUGUGACAGCAGCAGGAUUUAUUUGAGCCAUUUUCUCUGUUGCACCCGGAGAGCUGAGGUCUACAUGCAAGGGAGAAGAAGCAUGGUCCUCAGGCAGUGGAUCUGCUAGUGCUCUGGUGAGACACAUGAAUCCCCUCUAAUGCUAUGGAUGACAGCCAUGAUGGGAUGUGGCAAUUGACAACAUCCCAGAGUAGGCAUCUGGGUGAUGAAGCUUAAGGUCAUCUGAAGAAUCCUGGCCCUCUUGCCUCUAGUCACGGUGGCUGGAGGGAGUAGCUAUUAGCUCCGCAGUCUGUGUAUACCCAGCUGUAUCAAGCACUACUCUGAUCCAGGACUUCGCAAAGUCAACAGGUCUACUGGACAACAUGAACAACACCCUCCAUUCCAACUUUCACAUCUGAAAGAGGUGGAAAGGAACUGAGGGCUGAGCAGCCGGAACCCGCCUCUGUAUGUUUGCCAUCAGGGUCUGAGGCAGAGUUCUGUGGAGGAGCUCUGUAUUCCCUUUCUGCCCCACUCUCCUCCAAUGCCUCACUGGGUCAAGCCAAGGAAUUUUAGGUGGGAGAGCCACACAGCACAGGUAUCUGCAGAAAGGGCAUCCAGAAUGUGGGAGCAGCUACAGAGAGCCCAUCAGAGGACCCUGGAAGGUUCAGGGACUUAUGCACAACCUCUGACCAAAUGCAAGCUAAACAAAAUUGCUCUGUCCCAGAGUAAACCUAGGGCAACUCAAGGAAGCCAGGUGCAAAGAGUCACUCUUGGUUGCCUGGGAACACCUUUUCAUGAAGGACAACCAGGAGCUGUUAAUCCUGGCAGAAGACAGGGAAUGACCACAAACUCACACACCACGUAGGCAGGAUCUAGGCUAUACUCAAGGGCCCUGUGUUAAAUAGAAAAUGGAAUUGGCUGAGAGUGUAUGCUAUUUGGAGCUGGCAGUAGUCCUGCAAUCCUAGCUACUCAGUGGGCAACUUAUUGGACAAUUUAGUGAGAUCAAUAAAAAGGAAGAAAAUGGGGUUGGGAAUAUAGCU